rnacentral:SRP_RNA from 1 species
GGUUGGGGCCCGGCAAUGGCGAUUUUGUGAAUCCGCCAGGUCCGGGAGGAAGCAACGGUAGCAUGGUUUUCAUGUGCCGGGUCCUGGCCUUC